UACGUAGGGGGCUAGCGUUGUCCGGAAUCAUUGGGCGUAAAGAGCGUGUAGGCGGCCCGGUAAGUCCGCUGUGAAAACUCGAGGCUCAACUUCGAGCUGUCGGUGGAAACUUUCUGGCUAGAGUCCGGAAGAGGAGAAUGGAAUUCCUGGUGUAGCGGUGAAAUGCGCAGAUAUCAGGAAGAACACCCGUGGCGAAGGCGGUUCUCUGGGACGGUACUGACGCUGAGACGCGAAAGCGUGGGGAGCGAACAGG
rnacentral:rRNA from 1 species